rnacentral:rRNA from 1 species
CGGGGAAUAUUGCGCAAUGGACGGAAGUCAGACGCAGCGACGCCGCGUGGGUGAGGAAGGCCUUCGGGUUGUAAAGCCCUUUUGAGGGGGAAGAGGAAGGACGGUACCCUUGGAAUAAGCGUCGGCUAACUACGUGCCAGCAGCCGCGGUAAGACGUAGGACGCAAGCGUUAUCCGGAUUUACUGGGCGUAAAGCGCCUGUAGGCGGUCAGGUAAGUCGGAUGUGAAAGCCCCGUGCUCAACGCGGGGAGGCCAUUCGAUACUGCGUGACUAGAGAACGGCAGAGGGAAACGGAAUUUCUGGUGUAGCGGUAAAAUGCGCAGAGAUCAGAAAGAACACCGAUGGCGAAGGCAGUUUCCUAGGCCGCAUCUGACGCUGAGAGGCGAAAGCUAGGGGAGCGAACA